rnacentral:rRNA from 1 species
GACCGAUAGAAAACAAGUACCGUGAGGGAAAGAUGAAAAGAACUUUGAAAAGAGAGUUAAAAGUACUUGAAAUUGUUAACUGGGAACCGCUUAAAUUCUAAUCUCUUAAUUUUAUUAAAUCAUCUUCCUUAAAGGGUGGAUCACAUUAAAUAGAUGUAACUUAGUUAUUCUAUGAGUGGGUGAAGUCAAAGAGGAAGUGCACUUUAGUAGAAUUAUAAUCAACAUGAAUUUUAAGAAAACUUAGAAAAAAUAGAAGAAAGGUAGUAGUUUUAUCUUCGGGUAUUACUAUGUUAUAAUCUUUUAUUGAAUGAGCUACUUAAGAUUGAGGAAGUCAAUGUACUCCUCCUAUGGAUUGUGAUAUUAGGUUCAUGGAAGGGGAUAAAGUAGCAGACUGUAACAGUGUGA